rnacentral:rRNA from 8 species
GGUCGAUACCUAGGCACACAGAG